UUAAGUAUCCUAUAGCCACGAGUAUGCACUGCUUCAUCUAUUUUUAUUUUUAAAAUAUUUUAGGACUUCCAGUUUUCAGUUCAGCAUGAAAAAACUUGGAAGUUGCCACUUCAUCCUAACAACAAAUAAAAAGCUGAACAAACUGAAAAAUCAACAACUCUUCUUAGAUCCAUAAGAGACAUAGGGUCACAGGGCAAACAGUUGCCCCCAAAUUGGAGAGGCCAGCAGGCAAAUAUAGAGAAUCUCAACUUAAUCACAGAAACCCACAAGCAGCAACUUCUGCAGGAACCAUUGCUGGGGUAGGGAAACCUGAACUUUAGUUGAUGGAUUGUUGGGGGCUCAGUGUAGAAAAAGCUGAGAGGUAAAAACUCCAGGGGGACCCAGUCUUGAGUGGGGAGGGGGACAUGUUUAUGAAUUUUAUCUCCAGGAGUUCUACUAGGACCUUACAUUGAAUAUCAGGUUUUCCCUACUUGAUCUAUAGAUUCAAUUCAAUUGCAAUCAAAAUCCCAGCAAGUUAUUUUAUUGAUAUUUAAAAACUGAUUGUAAAGUUUAUAUGGAGAGACAAAAGACUUAAAGUAGCCAACACACACAAAACUGAAGGAGAAGAACAAAGUUGGCAGACUGACACUACCCAACAUUAAGACUUGCUGUAAACCUACAGUAAUCAACAUUAGUGUGGUAUUGGCCACUGAACAGAUAAACAGAUCAACUGAAAAGAAUAGACAGCCCAUAAAUACAUCAACAUAGAUACAGUCACUUGAUCUUUGACAAAGGAGCAAAAGGAACACAAUAUAGCAAAGACAGUCUUUUUAACAGUGCUGGAGCACCUAUACAUCUACUUGUAAAUAUAUACGUGUGUGUGCAUAGCACCCUUCAUAAAAAUUAACUCAAAAUGGAUCACUGACCUAAUGUAAAAUACAAAACUAUAAUAUUCCUAUAAAAUAAGAUAAGCUAGAUGACCUAGGGUUUGGUGAGGACUUUCUAGGUACAACACCAAAGGCACAAUUCAUGAAAGAAAGAAUUGAUAAGAUAGACUUCGUUAAAAGUAAGAUUUUCUGCUGUGUGAAAGAUACCAUUAAGAGAAUUAGAGAAGAAGCUGAUAGAAAAUAUUUAUGAAAGACAUAUCUGUCAAAAAAAAAAAAGGACUGUUAUCUAAAAUACACAAAGAACUCUUAAAACUCAAUAGUAAGAAUAACCUAAUUUUUAAAACGGGCUAAAGAUCUUAGCAGUGUACAUGUGUGUGUUUGUAAAGGUAUCAAAUCAACACAAUGCUGUGUGCCAACUAGAUCUCAAUUUAAAAAGCAUUAUAGAAGAAAAUUAAGUCUAUCUUAAAAUCGUGUAAUUUCAACUUUGAGACAAUUAAGAGGAGGAUUUUUUAAAAUACAUGUUUUUCACAUUUUUGAAAACAAAACUUUGUGUUCUUCUUCCCCCACACCUUUUUGUGUAUUAGGACAGCUACCCUCUCUUCUCCCCCCCUCAGAAAACUCUAAAAAUUAAAGGUCAUGAAGGGCUCAUCGCUCUGGAGCCCACGAGAGGAAAAGAACCCCACGGACCACAGGAAGAAACAUGCAACAGACAUCCAGGCAAUCUAAGGGGCCUGAGGACAGCAGCCCCCCCACCCCGCUGGGACCCGAACCCAGGAGGUGGAGGAAGCAGGGACCACUCCCACUGGGCACAGCCCAAUCAGCCCGUCGCCGCCACUGCAGCCCUGGCAGUUCGUUGAUUGGCUUCAGUGGUGACGCCCUCUCCCGAAUGCCUCGCUCGGAUUGGCCUGUUCCUUGGUUCGGACUGGACGGUGGCCAGAGGAGGACAAGAGACUUCCAUACCGCCUGGAGGGACGAUUUGGGUGACAUUUGAGACGCAGCCACACAUCCACAUGCGUCCAGGCUCCUGGGACAUGGCGGCGGCCUCUGUGGUAUCGGUGCUGCUGGCGGCGUCUGAGAGGAACCGGUGUCCGGAGCCCGGUGCUGCUGCUGCUGCUGCUGCUGCCGAGGCAACGGCAGUUUUGGCAUUUGGAGACUAUAUGGGAGCAACUUGUCUGUGCCUGCCUUGUGUGGAAUCAGUGCUCCCAAUGAAAUGCAAAACCUGCAGGCUGAUAGAGGAGGCAGCACACAACGUCCAGGGAGAGCAUUGAUAUGUUAAAUAGAAGAUAUCUUUUCUCUAGAAGAAAGUCUCGGCAACCCACUGUUAAGUAAGACUUUUUUUCGUUUUACAAAAUGGAUCAAGAUGCUUGUUUUGGAUGAAUUCAGUAAAAAUGUUGAGCCAAAGGAUUAAAGGUCAAAUCCAUGAGAUUUACCGGAAAUCAAAUCUGGAUUCAGGCUGUAUUGUUUUCUGCCUUAAUGCUAAUCGAUAUAUUGAAAAUCAUCAAAAAGUUCCCAAGAGAUCCAUUUCAAAUUCCGGUGAAGAAGGAAGAACUGAACUUUGAAAAGGCCAAAAUGUUACAAUAAUUUUGAAAGAGGAAUUGUUCAGAGUUGAUUUGGGAGGAAAGCAAUGGCCGUAAGUGUUGAAGAAGACAAGGAGGUUCUUUGUGAUACUGAUACUUUCUACAAUACUGCAGUGGAGGAAACGCCAGUGGGACUUAUUCGGUGCUGAAUGAAACAGGCCCCGGGGACUGUUCUCUGCCCUGUUGGCCGCAUCAGUCUCCAGUACCUUUCCCUGGGCUCCUGCAUCAAGUCUCACCUAAACCUGGCACCACAACCAUCUCUGGCAUCCAGGCUCCCCCUGCCUCCCGCCUCCCCACCCAGACCCUGCCCCAGCAGCCCUGCUCCCCCAAGGCCCCUUGUGUAACAGGACUCCUGGCCCCUGCUCAUGUCUUCUUCUUCCUGGAACACCCUCCUGUUUUCCUGCAAGUCCUCACCUCUCACAGAGAACAGUUCAGAUCUCACCUCCUCCAAGACCUCUCCAGUCCACACUGAUUCUUCCCCUUGCCGUCCUAUUGUGCCUGCAGUCACACAUUAACUGCUCAGUUAAUUGAGGCUGUAAAUGAACAGAAAGUCUUGUGACCAUUGCUUCUUGUGAAAAAUCAAAAGUAAGGUGCAACUAGAUCAAAGAUCACACUAUAAAUUUUUUUUAUAAACAGAUUUAUAGAAUAAAGAUGAUGUAAUCCCCACAAUUAGAUGUGCCGAAAGGCUCUGGUCUGUGAAGAAACCAAGGCUCAGGGCAAUUAGCGUAUUGCCAACAUUCUGCCCUCAGAAGAAAUUACCCCUCUCAGCUCUGCAUCAGCAGGCCCAGCCUCAGCUGUACGGGGUGUGGAGGACUGGCCCUCUCAGGCCUUGGUUUUCUCGAGGACACUAAAGUGAGGACAGUGGAGCCUCCUCCCCAGGAUUGCCGUGAGGAGCAGGGAGUAACUCCGUAGAGGGCUCACUCAGGGCGGACCCCCAGGAAGCUCCUUCCAGAAGGUAACCUGCAGCUGUUGUACGCCCGGAGAUGCCACACCAGCUGGCAAUGCAGAUGGUGAUCCUCGGCUUCCCUCCCUGAGUGGCACCUGUGAGCAUGUUUUGGUACAGCGUUCACUUAGGGCCUUGUGUACCUCUGACAGCCCCAUCUUUACGGUCACCUGAACAUUAGAAGGCUGGGGCUUUCCCAGAGAUGCAGCGUUUGAUGCAAUCGCUACGUCAGAACCUUAGUGAGGGGUGUGGUGCACAGUGAUUAGGAACAGACUGUCGGGUUUUUUGCAUUGGGUAGGAUCAUGGGAUCCCGAUGGGAGGGAGGUGUCUAAGACUAAAACAGAAAUAAUGAUCGAAUACACCCUUAAAAAAUUAUAAGACAAGGAGUUCCCAUUGUGGCUCAGCAGAUUAAGAACCUGACACUGUCUCUGGAGGAUGCAGGUUCAAUCUCUGGC